rnacentral:rRNA from 1 species
UACGGGGGGGGUAAGCGUUGUUCGGAAUUACUGGGCGUAAAGGGCUCGUAGGCGGCCAACUAAGUCAUACGUGAAAUCCCUCAGCUUAACUGGGGAACUGCGUGUGAUACUGGAUGGCUUGGAUUUGGGAGAGGGAUGCGGAAUUCCAGGUGUAGCGGUGAAAUGCGUAGAUAUCUGGAGGAACACCGGUGGCGAAGGCGGCAUCCUGGACCAAUAUUGACGCUGAGGAGCGAGAGCCAGGGGAGCAAACGGG